GAACGCUGGCGGCGUGCCUAACACAUGGCAAGGUCGAGCGGGGUUGAGGCGAGAGGUAACUCGAGCUUCUACCUAGCGGCGGACGGGUGAGUAACGCGUGGGCAACCUGCCUCAAGGUUUGGGAUAACAGCCCGAAAGGGCUGCUAAUACCGGAUAUGCCUAUGGCCUCGCAUGGGGCUAUGAGCAAAGGGGAAACCCGCCUUGAGAUGGGCCCGCGUCCCAUCAGCUAGUUGGUGAGGUAACAGCUCACCAAGGCGACGACGGGUAGCCGGCCUGAGAGGGUGACCGGCCACACUGGGACUGAGACACGGCCCAGACUCCUACGGGGGGCAGCAGUGGGGGAUCUUGCACAAUGGGCGAAAGCCUGAUGCAGCGACGCCGCGUGAGCGAAGAAGGCCUUCGGGUUGUAAAGCUCUGUCUGGAGGGACGAACAAAAUGACGGUACCUCCGGAGGAAGCCACGGCUAACUACGUG
rnacentral:rRNA from 1 species